rnacentral:rRNA from 1 species
UACGGGGGGAGCAAGCGUUGUUCGGAUUCACUGGGCGUAAAGGGUGCGUAGGUGGUGGGGUAAGUCUCGUGUGAAAGCUCGCAGCUCAACUGCGAAAAGUCACGGGAUACUAUUCCGCUGGAGGGUUGGAGGGGGGACUGGAAUACUUGGUGUAGCAGUGAAAUGCGUAGAUAUCAAGUGGAACACCAGUGGCGAAGGCGAGUCCCUGGACAACACCUGACACUGAGGCACGAAAGCCAGGGGAGCAAACAGG